AAAAAAUUAAUAAUUUAAUAACUAAUAAAAAAAUUUUUAAUAUAAAUAUAUAUAUAAUUGGGGGGUUAUAGUAUUUAUAUAAAAAAAAUUUAUUAAUUUAUAGUAAAUUAGUAUUGUAAAAGAAUUAUAAAAUAAUUUGAAAAUAAUUUUAUUUUAAAGUAAUUUUAAUUUAAUGUAUCUUGUGUAUCAGAGUUUAUUAAUUAUAAUUUUUAUUUAAAUAUUUCUCGAAUUUAAAAGAGAUAAUUAAUUAAUAAAGUUAUUGUAGUAUAAAUAUUUUAAAUAAUUAAUUUGAAAUGAAAUGUUAAUCGUUUUUAAAUAUAUCUAGUUUUUUUAGAAAAAAAUUUAAUUUUAAAUAAAAUUAAAAUUAUAUUAAUUAAUUAAUUUAUUUUUAAUUUUAUUUAAUAAUUUAAGGGAUAAGCUUUAAAUUAAAUUUUUAUAAUAAAUAAAUUAAGUUUAUUUAAAAUUUUUAUAAUUUAUAUUGUUAAAAAAUUAUAAUUUAUUAUAAAUAAUUUUAUUUAAAAUAAAAUUUAAUUUUAAAUUUAAAUUUUUAUAAAAAAAAAUUUUUUAAUUUAAAAAAUUUUGUUAUAAUGAUAAAAUUAGUAAAUAAUUUUUUAUUAAUUAUUUAAAAAUUUAUUUUUAAAAAUUAAUUAAAAGGAAUUCGGCAAAAUUUAAAUUUUAUAUUCACUUGUUUAUCAAAAACAUGUCUUUUUGUUAUAUAAUUUAAAGUCUAAUCUGCCCACUGAUUUAAUUAUUAAAGGGCUGCAGUAUAAUGACUGUACAAAGGUAGCAUAAUCAUUAGUCUCUUAAUUGGUGACUUGUAUGAAGGAUUGAAUGAAAUAUAAGCUGUCUCUUAAUUAUAUAUUGAAUUUAAUUUUUUAUUUAAAAAGUUAAAAUAAUUUAAAAAGACGAGAAGACCCUAUAGAGUUUUAUAAUUAAUUUUAUAUAAUUUAUUUAUUAAUUUUUUAAUUUAGAUGAAAUUAUUUAUUUUAUUGGGGUGAUAGAAAAAUAAAUUUAACUUUUUUUUAUUUUAUACAUAAAUAAUUGUAUAUAUGAUCCAUAAUUGAUGAUUAUAAGAAAAAAUUACCUUAGGGAUAACAGCGUAAUUUUUUUUUUUAGUUCAAAUAAGAAAAAAAGUUUGCGACCUCGAUGUUGGAUUAAGAUAAAAUUUAAAUGCAGAAGUUUAAAAUUUUUGAUCUGUUCGAUCAUUAAAAUCUUACAUGAUCUGAGUUCAAACCGGUGUAAGCCAGGUUGGUUUCUAUCUUUUAAAAUAUGAAAUAUUUUAGUACGAAAGGAUUAAAUAUUUAAAUUAAAUUUAAAUAUUAAUGAAUAUUAUUAAUUUAACGUAUAUAUAUAUAUAUAUAUAUAUAUAUAUUAC
rnacentral:rRNA from 1 species